GAUGCUACCUUUCAGUUUGCAUAUUGAGAUUGUUUACACACGAUUAGCUAAUAUAUUAAGCUUCUUAAAGGAAAAAAAAAGGUAAAGCUCAGGGUUUAGUUUUGAUUUGCAUUCUUCAUCCACUCUCUCCUUCACAAUACACCACCUGGAGAACAGCAAGGACUUGGCCAUCCCUGCCAACAGCUGGCUUUUGGAGAAGGGUAACAAAUGGUUAAAAUUCCACCAAAGGUUGCAGUGUCCAGGUGAUUCAGCACAUCCUCAGGGCAGAGAAACUCAGCUGCAGACCCAGCUGGCACUUCCCUGGGCUAACAGGACAGAGACCAUCAUUCCCUGAUCCAGAGACCUUCUGGGCAUCUCCAGGACACCCCUGCCAGGUCUUACAGAAGGAAAGCUCUUCCAGCUCAAAAAGAGAUUGCAGUGAAACCAAAGGGGAGACCCGGAGGAAAGCAAAGAGAUGAGAAACAGAUCUCCAGAAGAAAGAGAAACACCAUCUUUGUUCCUGAGAGGAAUGAUUUGUCUUUACAAACAAGCUGUGGGUCUGCUGGUAGAUAAAACCAGCACUGAGAGGUGAAAGAAACAAUGGGAAGGAUUCCACUGAU